UACGUAGGGGGCGAGCGUUGUCCGGAAUCAUUGGGCGUAAAGCGCGUGUAGGCGGUCCGGUAAGUCCGCUGUGAAAGUCGGGGGCUCAACCCUCGGAUGCCGGUGGAUACUGUCGGGCUUGAGUACGGAAGAGGCGAGCGGAAUUCCGGGUGUAGCGGUGAAAUGCGUAGAUAUCAGGAGGAACACCGGUGGCGAAGGCGCCUAUCUGGCCCGAUACUGACGCUGAGGCGCGAAAGCUAGGGGAGCAAACGGG
rnacentral:rRNA from 1 species